GACGAACGCUGGCGGCGCGCUUAACACAUGCAAGUCGAGCGAGAACCAGCCCUUCGGGCUGGGAAGCGGCGAACGGGUGAGUAACACGUGAGUAAUCCACCCCUCGGUACCGGGAUAGCCCGGGGAAACCCGGAUUAAUACCGGAUGGCCCAGCAGCUCUUUGGGGCGGCUGGAAAAGGUAGCUUCGGCCUCCGACCGAGGACGAGCUCGCGGCGGAUUAGCUUGUUGGUGGGGUAACGCCUACCAAGGCGACGAUCCGUAGCUGGUCUGAGAGGACGAUCAGCCACACUGGGACUGAGACACGGCCCAGACUCCUACGGGAGGCA
rnacentral:rRNA from 1 species